rnacentral:tRNA from 1 species
CAGGUCUAAAAUGAUAUUUGAUUGCAAGUCGGAUUUGGGAUUAAAAGAUCCUUAGGCCU